rnacentral:ncRNA from 1 species
UCCACCGCGAGGUGGAAUCUGAAGGAAGCGGCGACAAACUGCUGAACCGACGAACAGAAAUAUGAUACAAGGCUAUUGCUGUGGGUUAGUGGGCAUUAGACUGCAAAGCCCUAUAGUUGGACGUAUGCAGUAAUAGUAAAUCAUACGGUUUAACAGGACGGAACUAUGA